rnacentral:misc_RNA from 1 species
AGAGUUAAAUAGUAUGUGAAAUUGUUGAAAGGGAAACGAUUGAAGUCAGUCAUGCCGGCUAGAAUCAAUUUUAAGGAAGGGGGAUUUUUGAACCUGACCUUGGAGUGCAUUUCUUUGCUUGGCAGGUUAGCGUCGAUUUUAAAUGUCAUAAAAUGAUCGGGGGAAGGUAGCUCUUUCGGGAGUGUUAUAGCCCUUGAUCAAUGUGAUGUUUGGGAUCGAGGAUUGCAACGGAUACCUUUUAGGCUAGCCGCCUGGCCUCUGAUUUAAUGUUGGGUUGUAGACAGCAUGCUGACUAUGGUCUGAUGUUGGUCAAAAGGUUAGAGCGAGCAUAAAUUCGUUAAGGACGCUGACGUAAUGGCUUUAAACGA